rnacentral:rRNA from 1 species
UACGUGGAGGCGCAAGCGUUGUCCGGAAUUAUUGGGCGUAAAGAGCUCGUAGGUGGCGUGUCGCGUCUGCCGUGAAAGCCCAUGGCUUAACUGUGGGUCUGCGGUGGAUACGGGCAGGCUGGAGGCUGGUAGGGGCAAGCGGAAUUCCUGGUGUAGCGGUGAAAUGCGCAGAUAUCAGGAGGAACACCGGUGGCGAAGGCGGCUUGCUGGGCCAGUUCUGACGCUGAGGAGCGAAAGCGUGGGGAGCGAACAGG